ACCGCGCCUGUGCCUUGGCCUAGAACCAAGGCUUCAGGCCGCGGGGUCUGGGGCUCCCUGGGGGCCGGCUGCUAUUCCUGGCCGCCUGUCCAUUCAUCCGUCAGUGCAUUGGGUCGUUCAUUCAUUCAUUCAAGGAAUCGACAGAGUGUCGUCCAGACUAGAGUGCAAUGACGCGAUCUCAGCUCACUGUAACCUCUGCCUCCUGGGUUCAAGUGAUUCUCCUACCUCAGUCUCCCGAGCGGCUGGGAUUAUAGGCAUGCGCCACCUCGCCCAGCUAAUUUUUGUAUUUUUAGUAGAGACGGGGUUUCACCAUGUUGGCCAGGAUGGUCUCCAUCUCUUGACCUCGUGAUCCGCCCGCCUUGGCCUCCCAAAGUGCUGGGAUUUCAGGAGUGAGCCACUGUGCCCGGCCUUAUUAUUAUUGUUGUUAUUAUUAUUAUUAUUUGAGACGGAGUUUAGCUCUUGUUGCCCAGGCUGGAGUGUGAUGACGCUAUCUCAGCUCACUGCAACCUCCGCCUCCCAGGUUCAAUCGAUUCUGCUGCCUGAGCCUCCCAAGUAGCUGAGAUUAUAGGCGCCUGCCACCACGCCCGGCUAAUUUUUGUAUUUUUAAUAGAGACAGUGUUUCACUAUGUUGGCCAGGCUGAUCUCAAACUCCUGGCCUCAAGUGAUUCUCCCUCCUUGGCCUCCCAAAGUGCUGGGAUUACAGGUGUGAACCUCUGCGCCCAGCCAAUAAUUAUUAUUAUUAUUUUUUAAUUCAAGACAUAGCAAAGCAAGACACAAUCCCUGCCCUCUUGGGAGCUUCCGGUGUGGAAGGGAGGCUGUCAUGCAUUUGCAGUGUAGCAUGAUAGGGCUGGGAAGGGAAGAGUCUUGGGGCUAUGACUUCAUGUGGAGAAGGAUGUAUCCAACCCAUCCUUGGAUGGCAAGAAGUUUGCAUGAAGAAAAUGGCAUGUAAGCCAGAAGGAUGAACACAUUUAAUAGGAACAAUAGAAAAGUUGUGUCCAAGAUGGCAGACACAGCCUAUACAGCAGCUUGGAGUCUUCAGAAACCACUGAUGUCUUUUGUUUUCAUUUUUAUUUUUUUUGAGACGGAAUUUUGCUCUUUUUGCUCAGGCUGGAGUGCAAUGGCGCGAUCUCAGCUCACUGCAACUUCCGCCUCCUGGGUUCAAGCGAUUCUCCUGCCUCAGCCUACCAAGUAGCUGGGAUUACAGGCAUGUGCCAUCAUGCCUGGCUAAUUUUGUAUUUUUAGUAAAGAUGGAGUUUCACCAUGUUGGCCAGGCUGGUCUCAAACUCCCGACCUCAGGUGAUCCGCCCACCUGGGCCUCCCAAAGUACUGGGAUUAUAGGCAUGAGCCACCGCACCCGGCCCAAUGUCCGCCUUUCUAGGGCAGCUCACCUUUGGGUGUUUGGGUUCAUUCCAUUCUGUGCUUGCCUCAAGUCCAGAGCUCCCGAGCAUUGGCCCAGCCUUGAGGGAGACUGUGGAUUGCAUCAGAGGUGGUGAACCAGCUGCUGUGUAGGGAGGGCAACACCUCCCCUUUGCUAUGAGACUUUGGGAAGGUUCUCCAACCUCUCUGUGCUUUAAUCUUCUCAUCUGUAAAAUGGGUAUAAUUCUAAUUGUCCCAACGUCAUGGGGUUGCGGUGAGGGGUAAAUGUAUUAAUACCCCUCAAGUGUUUUCAACAGUAUCUGGCACAAGGUAACUGCUCAAUUUGUGUUGUUAUUACUCAUAAAGAGAUUUGGGGGUUAUUUGCUUAGCUUCCUAUAUGGUUCAGGCUCUGAUGAUGGAGGACGGGCACCAGGACAUAAAGGUUAAGGAGAAGGAAGACCAAGGGAUUGCAAGGGGGAAGUCCUUCCCAGAUAGGAUUCCUUAACAUGGGAUCCCUGGACAGCCUUUGGAGACCCAGGAGCCUGCCUACUGUUGGGCCCAUGUGCAUUUCCCCAGGCAGCUGGAGCCUAACUUCUACCAGGUCCUCAAAGGCGUCUUAGCGGACAAUUAAAGAGCCCCGCUGCUAGCAAAGGUUGAUCAGGGAAGGUGUGGGCUGUGGCUGGCAGUGGAGCUGGCUAAGGCCUUGCUGUGGGGCCAAGCUGGACAUCUGUGGCCACCUGGAUGAGCCAGUUAUCUUGUGAGGCUACACAUGGAAAUACUAGAAGAGGAGGGGGCCACACUAUACCAGUGUGAGCUGUGAAGUGGGAGCCGGGCAAGAUGAACAGGACCAGGCUGUCAACCACAGAGUGUCUGCGGCCCAGCGCCAGGGAACGUGAGCAUGGGAAAGCCCUGGAGGCUUGGCUCCUGUCCUCCCUGGGCGGGACAAUCUGCCUGCACAGGCCCCCCAGCCAGCCAGGCAAGGGCCCAACCCAUGCUCCCCAAGGCUUGGUUCCUGCUCAGAACCAGCGCACACUGCUGUGUAAAGCCACCAAGGUGGGAAGGAUGAAAACCAGUGAAAGGGUGCUUCUGUCCCGGCCUAACCUCCUCUUACAUUGGGGAGCAAGCCUAGCCAUCGCUUCUUCAGAUGGAGGCUGUGACCAAUGAAAACUUCCAGGGAAAAUUAAAAUUGGCCUUUUAACUUAGUGUAUGAUAGGAUAAUGAUGGCAGCUGACAUUUUUGGAUUCUGUAUUAACUUCAGGGUUGUAAGGAGUAGAGACAGGGUGGGCAGUGGGCACAGUGGCUCACACCUGUAAUCCUAGCACUUUGGGAGGCCGAAGUGGGAGGAUCUUUUGAGCCCAGGAGUUUGACACCAGCCUGGGCUACAAAGCAAGACCCCCAUCUCUACAAAAAAAUAGAAAAAUAAGCCAGGCAUGGUGGUGCACGCCUGUAGUCCCAGCUACUCUGGAGGCGAAGGCAGGAGGAUCACUGCAGGUCAAGGAUGCAGUGAGCUGUGAUCUCACCACUGCAGUCCAUCCCGGGUGACACAGCAAGCCCCUGUCUCUGGAAAAAAAAAAAAAAAAAAAAAGGGCAGAGACUAAUUUGAAGAUGCUUGAAAGAGUGGGAGUGUGUGAUGAGGUUGGGGAGGUGGGGGUGGCUGGGCAGAUACGCAGCAGGAAGCUACCCUCUCAGCACCAGUUAACACACAAGAGUGUUCUGUUCUGUGUCUGACUGCCAUACCCUCAGCUUUCAUUUAAAUCUCAUUUUGGGAUUUCUGAAGACAGGCACAGCUGCAAGACAGAGCACGGGCUGGGAUAGCAAAGGCCCUGGCCUCUCCCUUCCUGUCAGGGUCCAGCAUUUUCCUCCAAGCUACACCCUCUCUGCACUUUAAUGGGGGAGGGGCCUUGGCCAAUCAGAAUCCCGCAUUCCUGGCCAUGCGAUUGGCUCAGGCAUAAGCACAAUGACCCAGGCUGGGCCAAUGACGAGCCUCAGGAGUUGCUAAGCCGACUAGAAGUGGGCCUGCAGCCAUGAGGCCAUCUUGCCACAUAAGUUGACCUUUCGUAGAGGGAAGUCCUUCCUGGAAAGCAGAGCCAGAGGUUCUGGGAGGCAGACUUCUGAUCCCUUGAGGUUCUGGAUCCAAUCAAGCCCAAGACUGGAUUACUAGAAGCUUCCUGGAUACAGGAGCCAAUUCGCUAUUUUCAUGUUUUUAUGUAGCCAGUUGGGUUUGGACUUCUUAUAACUUGCAACCAAGACAGUCAUGGAUGUCAAAGGACAAUGAACCGUGAAAGUUUGUCUAGUCCUGGGCAGGCCCAUUUGUGCCUACCAGUGAGCCUCCUAGUAGUCCUGCAGACCCACGUUGGCCCCUCAUGUGGAAGGUCUGGAAAUCCACUGGCCCUGGUUGUGUAGAUGCCAGGCCUGCACAUGGGAGUGGACAUUAGACUCAUUGUCUCAAUUCCCCAGGAAUCCUGACUUCUCCUGGCAUCAUCCCUCGGCCACACGCUUACAUCAGUCAUAUGGGAAUCCACUGAUGACUCAGCCUGGUGGCCUUGGAAGCCUCUGUGUGCCAGCCCAGGGCAAGCUCUAGUGGGCUGGAGUGGACCGACAUGGCCCUGCCCUCCAGGAGCUCCCAGGAACACCUCACACACUCUGUGGGAAAGCUGGGGUCUAACCAAGCAGGACUCAUCUGGAACACCACUGGCCAGCCCAGCAUGCUAGCAAAGCUGUGAAUUCCUGGAUACGGGAGGGCCUCUGGCUCAGGGGACAAUAGGAUGAUUUGGCACAGUUGAGCCCACACGUGUGCAGAGCAACAGCAGGAGGCUGCCCUCUUUGGGUGGAGCCACCUCACCCUAUGUCUUUACUCCCUUAAAUAUCAACCUGGCCAAGGUCGUUGUCUGACCUUGGGACCUCACGUGGGAAUUCAGAGCUGACUCAGAGUCUGCAUGAUAGGGUCCUAGAUGAGGUUAGGAUUAGGAUUAAACAAACAGAACAAGAGACGGAAGAAGGCUUUGCAGAGGAGUUAGAUUGGGAGCGUCCCAGGCCGGGGGGCCGGAGUAUUCCCCAGGGCCAACCAUAGGCUCUGGACAGCCAAGUUUGCUGAAUAAAUAAGUGCAUGGAUGAAUGGAUGAGGGCAAAGGUGAAAGCUACGAAAGGCGAUAGGAAGCCAAGGAGGCCGGGUGCACCGAGUCAGGGGCGCAUUCCUUCGCUGGUAUUCUGGACACAAAGGAGGCUUCACUCCCAAGGCCAGGGUUUCUCCACCUCCCAACUUCUUCCCCUCUUUUCUCCUCUGCUGUGAGAGCCUCUCCACCUUCAGCCUUUCACUAUGAAUUCUAUUUCUCACUUAGAUCCACUUGUUUGAAAAGUAGAUUUCAAUCCAUUAUCAUAAAUGGAAGAAGAGCAGCCUUGCUAGCCACAAAGAGAAGGGAAGUAAGAAAAUGUUUAUAACUCAGGACAGCAACAGGAGGCAGAGGCUGCUGCCUGCCCAAGACAUGAGCCUGAGGCCCUGAUCUCCACCUGUGUAGAGAAGGAGGUGACUCUGUGAUUCCGUUUAUGGGAGGUCCCUAGAGCAUUCAAAUUCACAGACACAGAAAGUUGAAUGGUGGUUGCUGGGGGCUGGGGGAGGGACAUGAGGAGUUUUCGUUUAAUGGUACAGAGUUUCAGUUUUACAAGAUGAAAAGAGUUCUGUGGAUGGAUGAUGGGAGGGCUGCACGCUAUGAAUGUACUUAAUGUCACUGCAUUGUACACCUAAAAAUGGUUAAAAUGGUCAAUUUUAUGUUGUGUAUAUUUUACCACAAUUUAUUUUAUUUUUUUUGAGACAGGGUCUCGCUCUGUCACCCAGGCUGGAGUGCAGCAGUGUGAUCACGGCUCACUGCAGCCUUGUCUUCCCGGGCUCUAGCCAUCCUCCCACCUCCAGCAAUCCACUCAUCAAGUGGUUGGGACCACAGAUGUGCCACCAUGCACGGCUAAUUUUUGUAUUUUUGGGAGACACGGGGUCUCACUGUGUUUCCCAGGCUGGUCUCAAACUGCUGAGAUCAAGCGAUCCACCCACCUUGGCCUCCCAAUGUGCUGGGAUUAUAGGCGUGAGCCACUGCGUCCCGCCCCACAGUGUUUUUAGAAGGGAGAAACGCAAACAUUAGCGAGGUGUUAAAGCUUCUUAGCUUCAAACUGAUACUUUCUCUUUGAUUAACUGGAUCAUUU
rnacentral:lncRNA from 1 species